AACGAACGCUGGCGGCAUGCCUAACACAUGCAAGUCGAACGGGAUCCUGGUUUCGGCCAGGUGAGAGUGGCGGACGGGUGAGUAACGCGUGGGAACCUGCCCAGUGGUGGGGGAUAACUGCGGGAAACUGCAGCUAAUACCGCAUGAGCCCGCAAGGGGAAAGAUUGAUCGCCAUUGGAGGGGCCCGCGUUCGAUUAGGUAGUUGGUGAGGUAACGGCUCACCAAGCCUUCGAUCGAUAGCUGGUCUGAGAGGAUGAUCAGCCACACUGGGACUGAGAUACGGCCCAGACUCCUACGGGAGGCAGCAGUGGGGAAUAUUGGACAAUGGGGCAACCCUGAUCCAGCAAUGCCGCGUGAGUGAUGAAGGCC
rnacentral:rRNA from 1 species